ACGCUCGACACCUACGGGAGCAGCAGUAGGGAAUCUUCCACAAUGGACGCAAGUCUGAUGGAGCAACGCCGCGUGAGUGAAGAAGGUUUUCGGAUCGUAAAGCUCUGUUGUUGGUGAAGAAGGAUAGAGGUAGUAACUGGCCUUUAUUUGACGGUAAUCAACCAGAAAGUCACGGCUAACUACGUGUCAGCAGCCGCGGUAAUCUGGAGCGGGCUGGCAAGGC
rnacentral:rRNA from 1 species